rnacentral:lncRNA from 1 species
GCAACGCCGCGGCGGCUUCGCACCGCCCCUACCGCCCCUACAUUUAAGUGGGCCCGCGCAGCCCCGCCUCCGUGCGCCCCGCCCUGCGCGCGCCCCUGCGCCUGCGUGCCGGGAAGGUUGCGGCGGGGGGCGGGGUCUCGGCCGCGCGGCAGCGUGGGUUCCUCAGAGCCUGAGGGCUGGGGCUGCAGUCGAGCGCGGGCUGGCAGUAGCUAGCUAAAAUGCCCGCGGGUAGGAAAAGGCAAAGACCCCUCCCUCCCUGUUUAUAAACACUGCUGCUUGCCCCCUGGAGGCCUUAAAUAUCAUCUCCAGGAGAGGGGGUCCAACUACGUACAUCCUCACAAAGUUACACCCUGGUCAGGAAAUGCCUGGAGGCAUCGCAGCGAUGGCAGUCUCCGCAGUGACUGACGUCCAGAAUUCGCCCGUGAGGGUGCAAAGUCACGUACACUACGUUGCAUUUCUCUGCGGGCAGCUCAUUAAAUACCAGCAGAGCCAUCCCCUCCCCCCACCAGUGUCUAAAUGUAUCUCCCUUCUGGAAGAAGCCUGCAUGAACCAGCGGAGCAGGUUUGUGGCGGUGAGGCGCAGCGUGCAGAGCAGAUUUGUAUCGGGGAUUAGCUCACUUGCAGAUGGACAAAUGGGCCACUUGAGUGGCCUCCCCUAUGCCUGCCUGAAGGACAGUCGGUGGUUCUCAGUCAAAGGAGGACACGGAAUCUGACACCCGCCCCUCCGCACAUCCCCGGGUGGAAACAAAGCAAUGCAUGGAGAAAAGAUGCUUUUGUGCCAAAGGAGGUUUCUAGGCAACAACUCAUUUAACUACUUCAGUGUCUGUAAUCAUUCAGCAUUGCUGACCUUUAGAACCUGUCUGAUAAGCUCAUCAGAUUUCUGCAAUGAAAGAGCUGACAUAUGCAGAUGAGACAGAUCAACAUUUGGCUCCUGCCUUACUUUCCAGCCUCAGAGGCCCUCCCUUUGUUUUUUGUCCUACCAUAAGAUUGUCUUGGUGUCCUCUGACUUUGCUAUCUUCGUCUUCUGUCCAUACUGGUCUCUGUGCCUGGAUUCCCUUUUCUGGACCUGACAAUCUCUUCAAGGUAUAGUUCAAGUUUCACUUCCUUUGGGACUUUUUUCUUGCACCACCAUCCCCAACUCCUCCCCACCCCCCUUCCAUCCAUCCGACUAUUCUCAGA